rnacentral:tRNA from 1 species
UAUGAGGUGGUCGAAAUUUUAGUCGGUAGAUUGUAAAUCUAUUUAUGAGUAUAUUACUUUCUCAU